GAGAGUUAAACAGUACGUGAAAUUGUUGAAAGGGAAACGAUUGAAGCCAGUCGUACCUUCGGGUAAUCAGCCUUUCGGGUGCGAUUCUGUGGGGUUUGAGGAGCUUAACACCUUCAUGCUUUGCAUAUUCGUGCUCUUGGGUGUACUUGCCCGUGUGGUUGGUUAACAUCAAUUUUGGUGGUCAUAAAAUGACUGGAGGAAUGUAGCUUCGAUCUCGUAUUGAAGUGUUAUAGCCUUCGGUAGAUGUGAUGAUCGAGAUUGAGGAUUGCAACGGAUACCCUUCGGGGCUACCUGUCUGAUCUCUGAUCGUUGCUCUGGUGCCGAAAGCUUGCUUACGGUUAUCAAAGUCGAUGGUCAAUAGGUUAGAAUGGGUUAAAUUCGUUAAGGAUGUUGACGUAAUGGCUUUAAACGA
rnacentral:rRNA from 1 species